rnacentral:rRNA from 1 species
AUGGCUUCCUCCACGCCUUACCGUGUCCUACUCUUGUGCCUCACCACUUUCCUGCAGGCAUGGCUUGCUGCGGCAAAAUACCCGCCGCAUAACCCACCGCCGCCGCCCCCGCCGUUUGAGCUGCCGGAGUCCGACGUGAGGGAGAGGUUCUCCAAGUGGGUGAUCAAGUACUCAAAGCACUACUCGUGCCAUGAGGAGGAGGAGAUGCGGUUCCAAGUCUUCAAGAACAACACCAACGCCAUCGGCCAAUUCGACCAACAGAAUCCUGGCACCGUCGUCGGUC